rnacentral:rRNA from 1 species
GAUGAACGCUGGCGGCGUGCCUAAUACAUGCAAGUCGAGCGAACAGACGAGGAGCUUACUCCUCUGACGUUAGCGGCGGACGGGUGAGUAACACGUGGAUAACCUACCUAUAAGACUGGGAUAACUUCGGGAAACCGGAGCUAAUACCGGAUAACAUGUUGAACCGCAUGGUUCAACAGUGAAAGACGGUCUUGCUGUCACUUAUAGAUGGAUCCGCGUCGCAUUAGCUAGUUGGUAAGGUAACGGCUUACCAAGGCAACGAUGCGUAGCCGACCUGAGAGGGUGAUCGGCCACACUGGAACUGAGACACGGUCCAGACUCCUACGGGAGGCAGCAGUAGGGAAUCUUCCGCAAUGGGCGAAAGCCUGACGGAGCAACGCCGCGUGAGUGAAGAAGGUCUUCGGAUCAUAAAACUCUGUUAUUAGGGAAGAACAAAUGUGUAAGUAACUAUGCACGUCUUGACGGUACCUAAUCAGAAAGCCACGGCUAACUACGUG